GAAAUCAACAGAAAAUAAGAGCUAUGGCAAAGUACACUACUUUUCUCGCCCUCCUCUUUUGCCUCUUCCUUGUUGCUGCUACUGAAAUACAAAUGGCAGAAGGAAAAUACUGUUGGAAAAAAAGUGACAAGUGGAAUGGACCUUGUCAAUACUCUUACAAAUGUAGUCAUCAUUGCAAGUAUUAUUAUGGAGCUAAAUAUGGUAUCUGUAAGAAGUACAAACCAUGGGAUCACAAAUAUUACUGGGCAAAAUAUGCUUGCUACUGCUACUCACCUUGUCACUACUAAGAAUCUUCCAGUGUCUCAUGGCGUGGCUUUGACUAUGUAAACAAAUAAUUAAGAAGCUACUUAUUUUAUGUGUGUAAUAUAAUGUAAUAAGGCUGAUUUAUGUGUGCAACCAUUUUGGCCAGGCUUUGGGUGAUGAGCAACUUUAUUGUAUGCGUUCUAUGAGUAUUAAUUGAUGUGAACUAUGUUUUUUUUUCUAUAUGAA